UACGAAGGGGACUAGCGUUGUUCGGAAUCACUGGGCGUAAAGGGCGCGUAGGCGGCUUUAUAAGUCGGGGGUGAAAGCCUGUGGCUCAACCACAGAAUUGCCUUCGAUACUGUAGAGCUUGAGACCGGAAGAGGUAAGUGGAACUGCGAGUGUAGAGGUGAAAUUCGUGGAUAUUCGCAAGAACACCAGUGGCGAAGGCGGCUUACUGGUCCGGUUCUGACGCUGAGGCGCGAAAGCGUGGGGAGCAAACAGG
rnacentral:rRNA from 1 species